CCCACAAAACCCAAAACACUAUUCAAAGCCCAAUAAGGAGAGAAUCAUUAUACACCCUUUACUAUUCAUCUUAUUUUCCAAUGUGGGACUAUUCACAAAGGCAAAAUUGCAUUUUCAUGAACAAAGCUUCCAACAUGCGCUGCAACAAGGAAAGAACCACACGGGCAAAGAGAGGAGCCAACAUUUGUGAUCGAGGAAUAAAGUUUGUUUCUUCCAAUCCACUCACAGGGCAAGGAAGAGCAUUUAUUCUCCCCUAGUUUUAUGACGAAGGAUCAAGAAAGUGCUUCCUUUAUCAAAAGAAACAUUACCACUACUCAUCAUCCAAAUUAAGAACAAAAAUAACUUUUUCCUUCUUGCUCCUCUUUCCUUCUUGCUUUCCUUUUUGUGCGUGGACUGCUACAUGGGCAAUGCAAUUGGAGGACUCUUUCAUCGAGGACGAAGAAAUCAACGAUCUGGUGAUGUCGGGAGGCAGCCAUCAGCAAGAGAUGUCGGGAGGCGGCAGCCAUCAGCAAGAGAUGUCGGGAGGCAGCCAUCAACUAGAAACUUGACGUCGCAGCAAUCUGUUAAGCAAGGAAACAGUAAUCAACAGAGAAGAGUAAUUGCCAAGAAAUAUUCAUAUAUCCCUGACAAUUAUACAUCCCUUGAACAGGUUACAGCUGCGUUGAGAGAAUCAGGCCUAGAAUCAUCAAAUCUGAUUGUUGGAAUUGAUUUCACAAAGAGCAAUGAGUGGACAGGGAAAUAUUCAUUCAACAACCAGAGCUUGCACACAAUAGGUGAUAGACCGAAUCCUUAUGAACAAGCCAUUUCCAUAGUUGGAAAGACUUUGGCUCCCUUUGAUGAAGACAACCUGAUUCCCUGUUUCGGGUUUGGAGAUGCUACGACUCAUGAUAAAGAGGUAUUCAGCUUCCACAGUGAUAACUCGCCUUGUCAUGGAUUUGAAGAAGUUUUGGCUUGCUACAGAAGAAUUGCCCCAAGGUUGAAAUUAUCAGGACCAACUUCCUUUGCACCAAUUGUGGAGGCAGCAGUGGACAUCGUCGAGAGAAGUGGUGGCCAAUACCAUGUGUUGAUUAUCAUCGCGGAUGGCCAGGUCACAAGAAGUGUCGAUACGGACAUGGGCGCUCUCAGCCCACAAGAAGAGAAAACAAUCAACUCAAUCGUCACGGCAAGUUCCUACCCCCUCUCAAUUAUCCUUGUUGGAGUUGGUGAUGGGCCCUGGGAAGACAUGAAGAGAUUUGACGAUAAGAUUCCAGCACGAGAUUUCGACAACUUUCAGAUGCAAACCCAGCAGAGAAGGAAGCUGCUUUCGCCCUCGCUGCUCUCAUGGAAAUCCCCGUUCAAUAUAAAGCCACCAGGGAGCUUGGACUGCUUGGGUAAUAUACACAGAAUAUGGCAACAACUGGAACUUAAAUUCCUAAAACUUUCCUUUCCCUCUUUGAAAUUCAUCGUAUUCACCCUUUAUAUUGGCUGUUCUGCUGGGUCAAAGGCGGGUGACAGGGACAGCAAAGCGAGUGGCCCCACGCCCUCCUCCAAUACCAAGAACCCAAAGACGGCCAUCAUUAUCAAGGGCAGAAACUAGAUCUCCAAGAGAAGAUCAAAACCAGGCUUGUCCCAUUGCUUGACCAAUGCCAAGACUUGGCCUUUGGGUGUGGUCAUAUGUGUUGUGGAGAAUGUGGGCAGUCUUUGUCCAGAUGCCCUAUAUGCCGCCAAGUAAUUAGCUCACGUCUCAGGCUGUAUCCUGGUUGAGGCUUUGGUACUCAUCAUUUUGGUUGAAUCUGAUUUUUAUAGCCAAUUUGAAUAGUAGUUAGUUCUUUUCGCAGUUGAUCUUGUAUAUUCUGCCCAAUACGAAAGCUAUCUGACGAAAAUGUGAUUACGAAUAUGUGAUCAAGAUAUAGCUUCAACCAAUCCUCAAGUCCUUUUGAUUUGAUAUGAUACUUAGGUAUUUGUAUACUACAACUGCUUAAUAAAAAAAUGUCGCAGCAGUCAUCUUCCUACUUUUUCCAUUGAAAUAAAUGUCGUCUUUUUAUUCCUUUUUCCCCUACCUCCUCGAUUCCUUUGUGCCUUGAAGAUGACCUAGAAGGUCCGACAAUGGAUAACGACCUACCUACCUUAUUACUCACAAAGUAUAAGGUCCUCUAGUUAACAAAUAACAAACAACCUUGAAACCCUUGUGGACUGUGAACAAUAAUAGAUGAAUUAGGAAGACAAAAAACUUUCUAAGAUUUUCUUCAUCUCUAUACCACACAUCAAAGUUAAAGAGAAAAGUGGAUA